rnacentral:lncRNA from 1 species
CUCCCCGGCCGGCCCCGAGUCCCUCCCUGGCAGCCGCCGGCCGCAGCGGGGGCUCCCGGCGCUUACCCGGCUGCAGAGGGCGAGGAGGACCACGAAGGCGACGCGGACGGGGCCCAUACUGGCGGCGGUCAUGACAGAGUCUUGCUCUGUUGCCAGAUUGGAGUGAAGUGGCGCGAUCUCAGCUCACUGCACCCUCUGACUCCCUGAUUCAAGUGAUGCUCCUGCCUCAGACUCCCAAGUAUUUCCUAUAUCUUCCUGUCUUUUCCAUGGCCAAAAAUGAUCAAGUAAAGAACAUUAAAGAAGAAAUAAAUUACUACAUAUUAAAAAAUACAUACUGUAAGAUGUUCUUUGUACAAAAAUGUGACAACUUCAAUAAGAGUAACUUGGACAACCUGAGGCAUUAAUUGAGGAUCAAUAUGAUGACUUUACAUUGAGAAUCACAUAUACCCUCUGAAUAAAUUUAAAAAAUGAAAUUUUUUAAUUUUCAUUAAAAAUUAAAUUUUUUUGAGUGAUGAAAAUACUCAAUCACAUUAUUUUCAAAUUGUUGAUAAGCAUGGAAAUUAUCAGAGAACCAGAAUAUUCAAGGUUUAUCUUUCCUGUUUUUGUCUUAAAUCACAACUAUGUGUUAAAUAAUUUGUAUGACCUAUUUCAGUGGCAGUAGGUUAAAUAAAAUUCUGUUUGUAUCUCC